AAGGGGCUCUAUAGUAUGUUGAGCAGCGUCGUCACCUAGUAGAUGUCAGCAGUAGCAGUCCCAUCCAGUUUGUGACAGCUACAAAUAUCUUUGUCCCCUGGGAGUAGGUAAAUGGCUCUCCCAUUGAAAAUGACUAAAACUCUUAUCCACUGUAGUGUAACUUGUGAACUCUAUGACAGAGAUUAGUUAAAAACAAAUCCCUCCCAAACAUUGAGAGCUAGAUCACGUACUGUGCCUUGUCUAAGGAAUUCAAGGGCGAGAUGGGGAUGAGGGCACAGGUGACAGUUAUACAAGUCUUGUAAACAGAUGAAGCUCCCUUUGCUGGCUCUACACUCUCAAUAAAGGGGUCCACUC
rnacentral:lncRNA from 1 species